UCUUGAGUCUUCAUUCAUUCAGUGUAAGGUUGUUUGUGCAGCAGGUGCACUUUACUUUGAAUUUGUUUUUGUUUAUGGAAAUUCAAGGUUAGGUUCUACUUUUUUGAGACAAGUGAAAUUGUUUCCCUAACAUUGUGUUUUGUGACUCUAUACUCGGAAAGUUAUGUUAUGUUGUAGCCAUAUAACGUACGGAGAAAACUUAGGAGGCUUAAUAGGUUUUUAGAACAGUUUUAAAAACAGAUCUACAUAUCAGUUUUAUCUCAAUAACGCUAUUAUGACUGAAAUCAGAUACGCGACAUUCAAAAAACCUAAUUCUAAAUCGGAAAAAUUCUCAGACUUCGUUUUUAAAAAUCCAUUAGUUUAUUUAUCAUUCUUAAUUUUUGUAUCAGUGUUGGUAUUAUUCUUGUCUCCACAUGCAGUAAUCUUGAAAGUUUCAGAUAAUUCUGAAGUUGAAAUUGAUUAUGAGGGAGAAAUCUCUGAUUUUGAAGUGUAUCUUCCCCUUGAUGAUCAAGAGCCUGUAAAGAAGGAUUUAGGUGUACCUGUAAUGUUAGCACAGAUCACAAAUACUAAUGCACAAAAUUCUGCUCAGUGCAGUGGCUUUAAAGAUGGUGAAAAAUUUGACUGUCUACCACAGCAAAGUGUAUCAGAGGAUGGAUGUACUUUGCGAGGAUGUUGUUGGGCACCAGUUAACUCAUCAGACAAGGCAUAUCGUGGCGUACCUUAUUGCUAUUACCCAUCACCCUUUAAAACAUAUAAAUAUCUUAAUGUGUCAGUCACUGAUUUAGGAGCUACUGCAUAUUUACAGAUUUUAAUUAAUUCAACAUAUCCCAAUAAUAUACAGUUAGUCAAGAUUGACUUCAACUACUUGACUGAAAAUGUCUUGCAAGUUAAGAUUUAUGAUGCAGAACAUGCUAGAUUUGAAAGUCCUUUUCCAAAAAUGUCCCCAUCAAACGGAAGUGCAGUGAAAAAUGUCUUGUACACUGUGGACAUUGAUAAGGACAAGCUGGGUUUCAACGUUAUUCGGAAAAGCAACAAUCAGUCCAUUUUCAACACGCAGGAUGUGGGCGGGUUUCUGUUUUCUGACCAACUAUUACAGCUGUCCGCUCGUCUCCCAUCCAGUCAACUAUAUGGUCUCGGACAGCAACGUAACGACUUCCAGCUGGACAUGGGCUGGAGACAGAUCACCUUGUUCAACCGUGAUCAGGCCCCUAUUGACAAGACCAACCUAUACGGCAGUCACCCCUUCUACUUGGCCGUGGAGAGUGAUGGACUCAGCAGUGGAGUUCUAUUGCACAACUCCAACGCUAUGGAUAUAAUCCUGCAACCUGCACCGGCUAUCACGUAUCGAGCCAUCGGAGGGAUUCUGGACUUUUACAUCUUCUUGGGUCCCUCACCAUCAGAUGUUGUUAGACAGUACACCGGGCUGGUGGGGCGCCCCUUCAUGCCCCCAUACUGGAGCUUGGGCUUCCACCUCUGCAGAUUCGGUUACAACAGCUUGAACAAUACUAAGGAGGUUUUGAAUCGAACUAGAGCUGCCGGCAUUCCUCUGGAUACACAGUGGAACGACAUAGAUUACAUGCAACACCGUAAUGACUUCACUUACGACAAAGUGGCGUUCAAAGGCUUGCCCGAGUUCGUCGACUCCUUGCACCAGCAAGGCUUGCACUAUGUGGUGAUGCUGGACCCCGGGGUGAGUGGAGCAGAGACCCCAGGCACCUACCCUCCUUACGAUGAGGGUCUCAAGGAAGGGAUAUUUGUCAGGGACCCCAUAGAGGACAAACCUUUUGUUACCAAGGUCUGGAAUGAUAAAAGUACGGUAUUCCCAGAUUUCUUCCAUCCCAAAACUGAGUCAUACUGGCAAAACCAGAUUCGUCAGCUGCAUGAAACAUUUGCAUUUGAUGGACUUUGGAUCGACAUGAAUGACCCAUCAACAUUUUGGGACGGGGGCCAGUAUGGUUGUGCUCCGAACCCCCUAGACAACCCCCCAUACUUGCCGGGAGUGAACGGAGGCAAGUUGUACUCUCGGACCUUGUGUAUGUCCGCACGUCACUACAACGUCAGUCAUUACAACAUCCACAACAUCUUCGGCAGCCAGGAGGCAGUCCUGACCACGAGAGCCUUGCUGGAAGUGCGUAAGAAGCAGCGUCCCUUUGUCAUCUCCCGUUCGUCAUAUCCUGGCCACGGUCACUUCACCGGAGUAUGGACAGGGGAUGUCUUCUCCACCUGGGAUGACAUGGCACACUCCAUCUCUGAUAUUCUGAGCUUCAGCCUGUUUGGUAUCCCGAUGUCGGGUGCUGACAUCUGUGGGUUUAACGGCAACACUACAGCAGCUCUAUGUCAACGCUGGAGUCAGCUGGGAGCUUUCUACCCCUUCUCUCGCAACCACAAUACAGACGAUGCUGUUGACCAGGAUCCAGUGGCACUGGGACCAGGAGUGGCGGAUGCGGCUCGGAAAGCUCUCCUAGUUCGCUAUUCCCUCCUUCCCUUUCUGUACACUUUGUUUUGGCACGCCCACAAGGACGGGGACACUGUUGCAAGGCCUCUGUUUUUUGAGUUCCCAAAAGACGACAAGACUUACGGCCUUCACUCGGAGUUCCUGUGGGGAUCUGCACUGCUCAUUGCCCCUAUACUAUCUCAGGAAAAAAUGUAUGCAACGGCAUAUCUGCCGGCAGGACGAUGGUAUGACUUCUACACGUACCGGCCUAUAAACAGCAAGGGAAGUACGUACCUGCUGCCCAAGCAGAUGGACAUGAUCCCUCUGUUGCUCAGUGGAGGCAAUAUUGUGCCCACCCAACAACCCAACACUACCACCACUACCAGUCGGAAGAACCCAAUGGGUUUGUUGGUGACUCUGUGUAGUGCUGGCAAUGCUACCGGUGACUUGUAUUGGGAUGAUGGUGAUUCAUUAGACUUUGAAGACGGUGUUUACAACUAUGUGACAUUUGCUGUGACCAAGGGCAAGCUGAGCAGCUCUGUACAACAGUGGAAGUACACGACUACGCUGACACUUACCGAGGUGAAGGUGAUGGGUGUGGAGCAGGCCGUCUCCAACGUUACGAUAGACGGCAGCCCUGCACACUUCUCGUACAAGGCUGAUGUUAAGUUGCUGAAUGUUACCAGCCUAUCAGUCGACCUCAGCAAACCAUUCACGCUCUCAUGGUCAUAGGUUCCUAACCUCACCUAGUCAACAUUCUGCUGAAGAAAAGUAAAUAAUUAUGAGUACCUGUUGUGAAGUGUCGGUUCUAUAGCCUAUUGUUCUUGGAUGAAAACUGCUCUGCAUUCUGAUCUUAAUCUGAGAGAGAUGGACUGAAAAUAUUUUCAAUUUUACUCAUAGGAAUUGAAAUUAACCCUUACAGGACCGCUGUGAUUUCUUCAAUCAGUGAACACGCAUUUUCUGCCAGGGUACCUUACAGGAAUUAAAAUAAUUUAUCUUAGUUUCAUCACAAUAGGAAAAUAGUAUUUUAAAAGCUAUCUAAUAUAAAACAUUAUAUCAUUUAGUGUAAUAGUAUUUCUUGUAGGCCUGUACUGGAAUUUUGUUUUUAAAAUUAAAUAAUAAGAACAAUACAAUUCGAUGGCUAGUGUCAAAGCCAUAUCCUCAAAAUUAUAAAAAUCCCCAAUUUUGUGUUUGUAUGAGGUACCUGUGUAUUGUUGCUUACUGGAAUACAGCAGUUUUUCACUGAGAUGUUAGUUGAGAAAAAAAAUUGCAUUUCAAGGCCAGUAAUUUGUAAUUUGCGACAGUAUAAUAAAUUCAAAGCAAUAGUGUUACAUUGGAUUGGUACUGUGGUUUACUUACAUCCGUGAAUCUACCAUAUUAGUCAGUUGUACUGUACUAAAAUUACCUAAAUUUUACCAUUCUUGCAAGGUGAAUGAUGUCAGCCCUGAAACCUGGGUCCAAAGUCUGUUUUACGUACACCUUUUAUAUGAUAAAUGGUUUCAGAUAAUUCUGAGCUUCUGAUCAUUCAAAAAAAACUUGCUUUUGGUUACAUAAUUUGAGAAAUAAUAAUGCCUUUGGACUUUUCGUAAAAUGUUUUUAUUUUUUCACAAAUAAGUGAGUAUUUUAGUUAAGCGAAAAGAACAAUUAAAAAAAAAUUGAAUUACCAGCAAUAAUAUUGGAAAACUAACAGAAAAUUUGAUUUGAAUUAUUAUGUCUUAUUUAAACUGAUGAUCAAAUUUUGUUUUAAAAAAUCUAAACAUUACAAACACCACUGUAAAGCUGACAUUUUGCUACAAACAUUUUGGAACAACAAAUCUCUAAUCAUAAGUGAAACGCACAACGGAACUAUUUUUGUUAGAUUAGUUUUAGAUUAACUAUAAGACAUAUUAUAUAAAUAUAGUUUAUUUCCAGAAAAUCUUUGUUUACUAAUAAACUAUUAUUUGUUUAGGAUACCAGUUUUUAUUUUUUACAAAAUAGUAUAAAUGUAUGUUUUCUUUAAUACUGAUGAUUAUAUAUGUUUUAAAUAAAGAAUACAAGAUUGGAAUUCAAUUAAAGUUAAAUCUCUGAGUGAAACAAAGAAAGAUACACAUAAAAACCAAAUACUUUUUACAAUAGCAUGGUCAUCAAUGUACUUCAUAAUCAAUAAGAAUGUUUUAUUAAUUAUUGAGACUAGGAUUUCGUUAUUAUUUAUAUCCAAUAGAAUCAUGUACAGAGUGGCCACUCAGAACCUUUUUGCAAAUUUCCGAUUUUGCCGGUCAAAAAUUUCCGAUUCUCUAGUCCGUUUUCAAACCAAUUUUAACUGUAAUAUUUUAUUUGACCCUUACGCCAAAUACAACAGUCAUGAUUUCUGUCGAAAGCUGUAUUUGCAGGAAAUGCCACAAGUUGCGGUGGCCUAGCAAAUUUUGUCGCUAGCGAUAUAUGCGAGAAAUUCGGUGACGAUUCAUCACUACCACCUAUUUUAAGCACCUUUGUUUAUAUCCCUGUGUGUAUCAAACAAUGGAUGUAUCAAUAAAGAGAACAAACUAUUACUAACCACCACUAACGUGGGGCAGAUAGUCUAUCAUUGCAAGUCAGAGAUCUGCGGUGCAUGAACUACUGGUAUGAGACCACAAGUGUGCCGGUAAACAAGUUUCACGGAUCACGUACAUAAAAUACAAAGUUUGAGAUUAAUCAACUUCUAAAUUAUUUCUUGAUUUCAUAAGUUCUUAAAGACAGAAAUAUUGUUUUAGAGAUUUUUUCAGUUCUACAGAGAGAUAUCCAGCUUAUUCCCGGUGUGUGAAAUUCCUGGUUUUAAAGACUAAACAAUUAAUGAAGAAUAAAAUUCUUACAGUAAUGAUAAUUUGAUGUGGUUUAAAAUAUUUUCUAUAAUAAGCUUGCUUACUCCAGAAUUAUUAAAAUUUUAUUAAUUACAAGAUUGUGAGCCACAUUGUUUUGAAAGGAUUAGUCUUUUUUAUUAUGCAAAAUUCGAAUGCAAGUCUAAAACCCAUUUGAAAUUAAUUCAUCUAUGAUGAUAAAAUUGCAUAAAAAAUGGAAAAUAAAAAAAAAAAUCUGUUCCAACCAUUCCCUUCCCUAAUCCAGAUUCGUACUGCCCUUUUUGGGUCAACACUGUUCCUAAUCUAUUCAAAAGUACCACUCAGACAGGUUUCCAAAUUCCUGUCGUACUUCUAAGAGUGAACAUCUCCUAGUCAUUUUCGAAUAUGUAAAUGCUUGUACAUAACGUCUUGAUGUUGAAGGAAGAAAAGAAUUUGGUAUUAAAGAGUUAAUUAUAAUUGUACAUGUCACAACUAUCUAGUUAAGAUAUUGUAACAAAUGAAUUGCAUGGAUCCUGUCUCCAAGCUCAACUAAUAAUACAGCCACUGACAGCAGAUAAUGACCAGAAUUCAGUUAUUCUAAAAAAGGCUGUGAUUUCCCCAAAUAUAUUUGUAAUUGAAUAUGAACUGAGUUUUAUUCAUUAAUAGCAAGAUGUACAAGUCAAUUAAAAAAUGUUAGUGUACUUAUUUUUUUAAAUAACCUAAGAGAUAAAAUGCACAAAUACUCGUAGUAGUAGCUAGUUGUAUUAAGAAUUAAGAAAAACUAAUGUUUUAUUGUUACAAGUCCAUUAUAGUUAAAGCUUUAUUUCAUUGUUCUUUGUAUACAAAGGUAAUUCUUCCAAUUUAAAAAUGUAUUUUUAUCCUUAUUUUCUUAAACAAAGACUGUACAGUAUUAGUAAAUAAAGUCAUUUGUGAUAUUGAA
rnacentral:misc_RNA from 1 species